CCUCCUCUCCACCUCUGAGGGGUCCAAGCUUGUCCAUUCCCAAAGCCUGCUCUGUAGGGGAAGUGAUGUAUGCCAGUGGAGAGGGGCCUGGCAGCAGCUGCCUGUCAUUUGUCCCCCUGACUAAAGAAGCUUAAGGCCCAGUGGGAGCAUUGACAGGAGAGGAAAUAGUCCGUACAAGCCUCCUGGAACCUCACCUCUCUCACAAAACAUCAAGAAUCGCUAAAAGGAGGAAGAAAGGCUAGGAAAGCCAUGUUACAAUUAUUCUCACCACUGAUUGUCAUGCACCUCUGGCGAAACCAGUGUUUUAAAGCAUAAUGGCAAGAAUCUCCACCUCUCUUGAUGGAUUGCGGAGAGACCUUAGGAUCAGUUGAUUUGCCUAGAACAUACUUUCAUGGUCCUAUCAUUACAAAGAUGGUACCUUUUACUUAACUACAUGAAGUCCUUCCAGGGCAGUGCUGAAUCAUCAAUGAAAUAAAGAACACAGUCACAAGUCUGAGACUAUGUUUUCAGGACUCAUUCACUGAGGCUGUCAGAGGACCUGGUUGUUCUCACUGAUUUUGAGCUCAGAGACUGAAGAUGUGCCCAACAGCAUGAAUGCAUUGAAGCUUCUCUGAUGGGACUUACAUUUUCGGCUGGCACCAACUCUGGGCUAAGGGAUUCUGUAUGUUUACUUCCCGCUGUAUAAAGUAGGCCUGCCUUUGACUUGCCCCAAAUCUGUUCCUUUCCAGCAUUCAGGGGGACCCCCUUGUUCUAACACAACAGGGCUUGGUGAACAAGGUCAUUUCGCCUUUCCAUCCAUCUUGCUGACUUCAGACUAUGGCCACUUACUCCAGACAUAAGAGGCCUGAUUCUGGCGGGCCCUCCCCUGGGGAACAUUUUACACGCAGCAGCUAGUGAUCUCUGUGGCCGACAGACUGCUUUUUAACUGCGUUCUCCUCCCUGCCCCCACUGCUUCCUGGCCAAGGCAGGGAGUCCCUCUCAGUAGGAGCUGCGCAGAGGACAGGGUGAGGAGGAGCUUCCUCUGGCAAUCGGGUCUCCCUCAGCUGAACAGAGGAAGCGGGAACAUGUCAGGAUUGGGGUCUGAGGUUAACCUUGAUGGACUCUGGGCCACAGUGGCAGCUGGGGAAAGCUGCCAAAUUCUGGCGCUAAGAAUAGUGAGACCUUAUUUGGGUUUAUCGUAUUGACACAUUUCACACUACGUUUCUUAACAGGCUGCCUUGUUGGAUAGCAUUUGUAGCCACCUCUGGAGUCUGCUAUUGAAAAACUCCAUUCUUGUUUCUUUUUUAAAAUAACCUUCUGUGGUGUUGAACUUGAAAGGUUGUCAGAUGGAAGUGUUUAUGUGCUCUCAUCUCAGUUAAAAUAGCGUAAAGAAGAAAGUAUCCAACACAUAUAUUUACUGAGUACCUGGAGGGACAUAAUUCAGGGGAUGAGGUGGAUGAGGUGAUAUCUGACCUGCCAUCCGUGAUGCAGCUCUCGCUUGAUGUAGGCUGUAUGCAUGCCAGGGGAAAAUUAAUAGUCCUCUGGCUGUAAUCAAUUUACUUCAUUCAAACAAUUGGCAAUUGUAUUUUCAAGCAACUGGCAAUUUCAUCUGUUUUACCAAGUUCUCCAAAACACACAACUGAGGACUGACUGCAAAGAUAAAUAUUAAUAAUUGAAGAAAAGCCAUCUGCUGUACGGGUCACUGCUGGGGACACCAGAAGUCCCUUGGGAAUCUGGCCAAGUCUGAGGGCGCAGACUCCACCUGACUGAGAACCCCCCCUCACUUUCCCACCCCCUUUUUCUCCCUCGGUGGGAAUGUGGUUCUCAUUUAAAAUAUAGUAGAGCUAUGCUAUAUGUGGCUUUAGUAAAAUUCCAAUAAUCAGCUCUUACCUACAUGGAUUCCACAAAUAUCUGGAUUUUUUCUUUAUCUGCUUUUAGAAAAUGGUCAAUAAAUAAAAAGCUGCAGUGAUUGCUUUAGGAUUCUGCUCAGGAAAUCAGGAGACCUGAAUUCUAGUCCCAUUUCUGUGACUGGCUCUGUGAACUCAAGCUAUCUCCUCUCUGAAUCUCUUUUCUUAUAUGUAACAUUAAAAUGUUGUGCUACAUGAUCUCAAAGUUCCCUUCUGCCAAUAACAGUCUAUAUUUCCAGUACCAGGGGUUUAAUUUCAGAACCACCUUUCUGGGCUCAGUACAUUGAGCCUGGUCUCCUGUACCUUCUGCACCUUCAGUCCUACCUAUGACAGCCAUAAAUUAUAUCAAACUUUAUAUACUUAGUAAUCAUGAUUUACUUCAUAGUUUUCAAAGCACCUUCAUACUCAUUCUUUCAUCUAAUCUUCAUAUAAUCCCUGUAAGGUACACAGCUCAGGUAUUAUUACUCCCAUUUUGCAGAUGGAGAAACUGAGACCUAGACAAGUAAAAUAACUCAUGCAAGGUCAUAGGGCUAGAGAAGGAACAAGAACCCAGGUAUUCUGACUCCAAGACUGGUGCUUUAUUCCUUUCACAAAUAUAAUAUUAACAAUGGCAACUAAUAGUUAUUGAAUGCUCACUAUAUACCAAGUACUUUCCACAUAUUUUAUCAUUUAACUUUUAGCACAGCCUCAUGAGGAGGGCACAACUAUUUUCCCCAUUUGUCAGAUAGAAAAACUGAGGCUUGGAGGAGUAAAGUUCCUCACUCAUGGCUAUAUACUUAGGAAGUGGAGGAUCUGGUAUUUGAACCCGGAGAGUCUGACUUGUGAGUAUAACCACCAUUCUUAUACUGACUGUCUUGAAAUAUACAGCAUGUACCUUAAAGAGGAUGGAAGGUCAGGUUCUCACUUUGGUUGCCCUAUCUGGGGGCAAAAUAAUGAUCAUUCCAGAAAGGUCGAGGCAACUAAUCAGUCAGCAAGGAUUUGUUAAGUAUUUACUGUGUGUUCAGAUGUGUGCUAGGAUGCAGUGUUACAGGGGGUUGAGGCAUAAUUGUUAACCUCAGUGAAUUAGGAAUCCACCUAAUUGUAUAAAAUUGAGUAAUAGUUAUAUAAAAUCAUGGCAUGUAUAUAAAUAGGUGAUAAAAUGACACUAUGAGGUAAAAUAAUUUAUAGAUAUUUAAAAAAUCAAAUUUUCAAAGAACAUUCAAGGGGUCUGGAAAAAUGUUUCCUAUAUAAUGUAAAGGAUUUAAAAGGCAGGAUGGGUAUCUGUACAUAUGGUAAAACUAAACUUUUUGUGAUUCUUUUACUUGGAUGAGUUUUCUUAUCCAUAUUUUCGAAGUUUUUUUUCUUUACACUGAGCAUGAAUUAAUUUUAUAUUUUAACUUCUAUAAUAAAAAACCGCAUAUUUAAAAAAUCUAGUUGGGGUAAUAUGACAUAUACAUGAAACAAUUAGAGAAAAAAGGUAUCAGCAAAUGGUAACAUAAUAAGACUUGCGGUGUUGCCCUAGUACAACACUCUGCUAGUAAGUUUCAAAACACGGUGGAAAAGACCCCACUCUGGGAAUCUGGCAGUCUAGAUUCCCAUCUUGCUUCUGCCAUCAGGGAUCUGCAUCCCCUUUGGCAAAUCUCUUCUCCUUUCUUGGCCUCACUUUCCUCAUCCGCAAAAUGAGGUAGUUGAACUAGAACCGCUUGAUCUAUCUCCAACACUGUGAUCUGUGACAAGACUUCAAGACUUGGUUUUGCUGAUUCCUGACUAUAAAUCAGAGGGUAGUAAAAUGACAGGUUAACAUUGGAGGCACUAAAUGGAAGAUACUGUUAACCGUGGUCCCUGAAACUCAUGCUUUACUGCAUUUUUAAUUCACUUGCUGUGAAUUUUUUCUUCCUCUUCUCCAUCUAGUUAAAAAAGGCAGGGCUGUCAUGAUUUUCAAAUAUAACAUCAUUGUAAGACUCACAGACUCCAAGAAGGAAC